rnacentral:rRNA from 1 species
UACGAGGGGGGCGAGCGUUUGUUCGGAAUUAUUGGGCGUAAAGGGCGCGUAGGCGGUGCGGUAAGUCACCUGUGAAACCCCCGGGCUCAACUCGGGGCCUGCAGGCGAAACUGCCGUGCUGGAGUGCGGAAGAGGUGAGUGGAAGUUCCCGGUGAUAGCGGUGAAAUGACGUAGAUAUCGGGAGGAACACCUGUGGCGAAAGCGGACUCACU